CAAUAGCGUAUAUUUAAGUUGUUGCAGUUAAAAAGCUCGUAGUUGGAUUUCGGAUGGGAUUUGCCGGUCCGUCGUUACGAUGUGCACUGGCCAGUCCUAUCUUGUUGUCGGGGACUAGCUCCUUGGAUUCACUUCCUGGGACUAGGAGCUGACGAGGUUACUUUGAGUAAAUUAGAGUGUUCAAAGCAAGCCUACGCCCUGAAUACAUUAGCAUGGAAUAACACGAUAGGACUCUGGCUUAUCUUGUUGGUCUGUGAGACCAGAGUAAUGAUUAAGAGGGACAGUCGGGGACAUUCGUAUUUCAUUGUCAGAGGUGAAAUUCUUGGAUUUAUGAAAGACGAACUUCUGCGAAAGCAUUUGGCAAGGAUGUUUUCAUUAA
rnacentral:rRNA from 1 species